GCGGAUUAACUAACGAGGAAACUAUCUGUCUCUCUCUAAUACUCUCUUUCUGAUAUAUGCUUCUUUGAUUCAGGACAAUGCGUCGAGUCUGGCCUCCCGGGUUAAGAAAACUGAUGCAAGGGAAAUCGAGAGCUUCUACCAACAAUGCUAUGAACACUACAUCAGAGCACUGGACAAGGGGGAACAAUCAGAUAGAGCCCAACUCGGCAAAGCUUACCAGACAGCCGGAGUUCUUUUUGAAGUCCUCUAUGCCGUUAACAAAACUGAAAAAGUGGAAGAAGUUGCUCACGAAUGCUCAUUCUAACCGAACUGUCGCUAAUUUAUAAUUAUUGCUGCAGCAAAAGAUGUCCAGGCAAAAAGGUUGGCGGUUUCAUUUUUGUGAAUUUUUGAGUCAAGCUGAUAAUAUCGUUGUUUUCCGGUUCAACUUGGACCGGAGGGGGCGAAUGAGGCAGAGGUUGUUGUCUUUGUUGCUGUCUCGUUGAUUCAACUAGGGCUUCGAGCAUUUGUUCCAUUCGGCUCAUGCGAGCCUCUGAAGAUUUAGCUGUACCGUCACUUGUAUUUUCCAUUUGUUAUAAGUAAGCAAGGCAAUAAUAAACAUAGGAAUAAUCUUGUUCACAGUACUCGGAGUAUUCAA